GAUGAACGCUGGCGGCGUGCCUAAUACAUGCAAGUCGAGCGAACAGACGAGGAACUUGCUCCUCUGACGUUAGCGGCGGACGGGUGAGUAACACGUGGAUAACCUACCUAUAAGACUGGGAUAACUUCGGGAAACCGGAGCUAAUACCGGAUAAUAUAUUGAACCGCAUGGUUCAAUAGUGAAAGACGGUUUUGCUGUCACUUAUAGAUGGAUUCGCGCCGCAUUAGCUAGUUGGUAAGGUAACGGCUUACCAAGGCAACGAUGCGUAGCCGACCUGAGAGGGUGAUCGGCCACACUGGAACUGAGACACGGUCCAGACUCCUACGGGAGGCAGCAGUAGGGAAUCUUCCGCAAUGGGCGAAAGCCUGACGGAGCAACGCCGCGUGAGUGAUGAAGGUCUUCGGAUCGUAAAACUCUGUUAUUAGGGAAGAACAAAUGUGUAAGUAACUAUGCACGUCUUGACGGUACCUAAUCAGAAAGCCACGGCUAACUACGUG
rnacentral:rRNA from 1 species